rnacentral:lncRNA from 10 species
GGGUAACACUACCUCCUGGGAGGCUGCUCUACAGAACAAAGGAGUGAAAGGCUGUGAGAAACCCCAGCCCCAGGGCCAAGCUCACAGAAGGCAGGACCGAUAUCUGCAAGGCUGCAACUAAACACCACACUGGGGGCAAAACCCAGGAGCCACGGGAGCUCAAUCCCGGCUGAGACUCCUCAGCUCACCUCACCUCUGCUUCUGAUGGGCCUGCCUGCUGCUCCCACCCACCCAGGACAGGGGCACAGACAGGCUGCAGUGAGGCAGUGAGGGUCACUGGGUCAGUGGGAGGCAAGUCUUCAAGGAGGUGUGGGAAGUCAGGGAACACCUCGGUGGCAGGAGGUUUCCUGGAAAUCUCACAGGCCUCAUCAUGUAGAUCAUGGUCCUGGUCUUCCCCAGCCCCCGGAAGCUCUCCAGUUUGGAUCCCCCCUCCUGUGCCCUCCUGCCCACUGGGCACACUGCUAGGUGUCAUGGUGCCCCCAGGGCCUCCUAAUCAGAGGCAGUGCCAAGGAGAGGCUUUAGCCACAGUCACUGCCUCUCUGCCCUCAGGGCAACAUUCCUCAGAGUUCAUUCUACGCUUAUUCCCCCCACCAGCACCCCCACUCCCACCUCUCCACUGUCAUUGGGGUGUAGGUGACAUGAUAUUUCCCAGCUCCCCGAAGCCCUCAAAAGUAAACACACAAGCUAACUAGGCACAGCACACUCACGGUGCCCACUCAGCUUCAAGACAGCUGACCCAAGGCCCCUGCUACUUAAAAUUCUGGAGCUAUAGCCAGGCAUGGUGGCAGGUGCCCGUAGUCCCAGCUACUGGGGAGGCUGGGGUGGGAGGAUCGCUUGAGCCCAGAAGUUCCAGGCUGUAGUGAGCCAUGAUCAAGCCACUGUAUUCCAGCCCAGGG